UGGGGAAUUUUGGACAAUGGGCGAAAGCCUGAUCCAGCAAUGCCGCGUGUGUGAAGAAGGCCUUCGGGUUGUAAAGCACUUUUGUCCGGAAAGAAAUCCUUGGCUCUAAUACAGCCGGGGGAUGACGGUACCGGAAGAAUAAGCACCGGCUAACUACGUGCCAGCAGCCGCGGUAAUACGUAGGGUGCAAGCGUUAAUCGGAAUUACUGGGCGUAAAGCGUGCGCAGGCGGUUUGCUAAGACCGAUGUGAAAUCCCCGGGCUCAACCUGGGAACUGCAUUGGUGACUGGCAGGCUAGAGUAUGGCAGAGGGGGGUAGAAUUCCACGUGUAGCAGUGAAAUGCGUAGAGAUGUGGAGGAAUACCGAUGGCGAAGGCAGCCCCCUGGGCCAAAUACUGACGCUCAUGCACGAAAGCGUGGGGAGCAAACAGGAUUAGGAUACCCUGGGUAGUCCACGCCCUAAAACGAUGUCAACUAGUUGUUGGGGAUUCAUUUCCUUAGUAACGUAGCUAACGCGUGAAGUUGACCGCCUGGGGAGUACGGUCGCAAGAUUAAAACUCAAAUGAAUUGACGGGGU
rnacentral:rRNA from 1 species